rnacentral:tRNA from 1 species
GCGGGAGUCGCCCAGCCCGGCCAAAGGCGCAGGGCUUAGGACCCUGUCUCUUAGGAGUUCGUGGGUUCAAAUCCCACCUCCCGCA